UGCUGGCAUUAAGUUGAUCCAUGUCAACACCAACAAAUUCAAGCCUUUUACGAACUUUUUCCUCUGCUUUCGAGGAAGGCCUUGGGUCUCGAAUAGAAGAUGAAUGAUAUCCAUUUUCCUUGAAAUAGGGGUGAGAGAUGAUUUGAUCGAUAGAGGGUCGAAGUCGGUAAUCCUUGCAAAGGAGGGAUUUCAACAAGCUUGAAGAGUUUUUGGAGAGUGUUUCAGGAUAUUGAGGACAUUCAUUGAUAAUUUUUUGCUCAGUUAAAGAUACAUCGUCCUCGUCGAACGGGAGCCUUCCUAUUAAGAGAGCGUACAUAAUUAUACCCAGAGACCAUAUAUCAACGCAUUCACCAAUAUAUUUAUGGCCCUGUACUAGCUCCGGAGCACAAUAAGCAACUGUACCACAACGUGUGUUCAUAAAUGUUCUACGGGAACAAUCAGAAUCUCUAGAAAACCCAAAGUCUCCAAGCUUAACAUUGUAGGCUUUAUCUAGAAAAAUAUUUUCGAGUUUAAGGUCACGGUGAACACAGCCUUGUCUAUGUAAAUACUGAAUAGCACAGCAUAGCUGCCACAUGAUACGGCAAGUGGUCUUUUCAUCCAGCCUUUUUUCUCUCGCUACCCAGUCAUACAAUUCACCAUUUGGACAAUACUCCAUGGCAAGAUAAAUUCGGUCUUCGGUGCAUACUACUUCAUAAAGCCUCGUGAUGUUUGGAUGAAGAAGACGCCGAUGAUGAUGAAUUUCUCGAGCAAGGAUAAUCGCUUGUUUCCUGCAAGAUGAUUUCAGGACAACCUUUAAUAAAAAUGUUAGCAAGGUACAAUCAAUUUAUUGAUGAAUAAAACGUUUAUCAUUCUCAUAAUGUAAUCAACCGACUUUGGAACGGUCAAUAUUCGCAAUUUACGAGCCGUUUAUUCUUCUUUUUAUAACUUAGAGACAUAGUAAUCUUUGAAUAACCCAUACCUUUGUAUUUGUCAGUAAAUGAGCUGCCAAAUAAACUUUUCCAAAGCUGCCUACAACCCAUGCUUGUUAGAUAGCCGUCCAGUAUUGAGCGUUCACAAUAACACAAAAGUAUCGUACCUUCACCGACAACACUCUCAAUGCGAUAUGUACCGACAUCAGAGAUACGAGGAUUG